CUUAGUAAACGCAUGACACGCCACGCACACCACCGAGAGAGCAACGGAGCGUGAUUCACUCAAGCUCCGUCGCACGCCAUGGACGCAUGCAGGGCUCGCGGGGCGGCGGUGGUGGCCAAGUACGGGGAGAAGAGCGUGUACUUCGACCUGGACGACAUCGCCAACACGACGGGGCAGUGGGACCUGUACGGCAGCGACGCGGCGUCGCCCUACAACGGCCUGCAGAGCAAGUUCUUCAACACCUUCGCCGCGCCCUUCACCAAGCGCGGCCUGCUGCUCAAGUUCCUGCUCAUCGGCGGCGGCUCCCUGGUCGCCUACGUCAGCGCAUCCGCCUCCCCCGACCUGCUCCCCAUCAAGAAGGGGCCCCAGCUGCCGCCCACCCCGGGACCACGCGGCAAGAUCUAAAUCUAAUCCUCGCCUCGCCUCGCCUCGUGCUUGUGUACCAUGGAUCCCGUCUGAUCUCAUGGAUCGGAAUCGGAUCCCCCGUAUCCAUGUCUUUCUGUUGAUACUUGAUGCUGUACCUUGUUGCCUACGUGAUGCACACAAUUACUGCUAGAUCAUUUGCUCUUUAAUCCCUUUCGUUGUACCGCUGUGUGGUUUUAAUCACUUGUCCAGUGUGCGUACAGUGCCGAUCGAUCCAUCAUAUGCAUGUCACUCGGCAAUACACAUUGUCCAGCCGGCCUACUCUACUCUAUGUGCACAGCUGCACAAGUAAUGUUAGUACAAAGUUAAAUCAUUCGUCUUAAGAAGAAGGAAGUACUUACUACUCCCUCCGUUCCUAAANNNNNNNNNNNNNNNNNNNNNNNNNNNNNNNNNNNNNNNNNNNNNNNNNNACAUAUUUUAGAAUAUAGAUUUAUUCAUUUUGCUCCGUAUGUAGUCUUUUAGUGAAAUUCCUAAAAGGUCUUAUNUUUUGGAACGGAGGGAGUAGUAAUUAAGUAGUAACAGUUGCCGUUGCGGCCAUCUGUUUUGGUAGCGUCUGAUAAAUACCAUCAAUCAUGCAUUGCGUGGUCGAAUCUGACAUGCAUUGCAAAACUCCUAUAACACACUAGAAAGGUUGCUUUCAUGGAAAACAGGGUCUAGCUAGAAGAGUUCAACGCUCAGUAGUUCAGAAGUAUGCUAAAAAAUCACAUGUCCAUUUCUCAGGCUCAGUGUGGAAGAUCUCAUGAUUAUUUGGUUCAUGUAUAGAGCAUGGGGGGUCACACUUGAGCAGCACAUCAUCUUGGCCUCUGCACCAAAUUUCCAGUGGGGAUCCAACACAAUGGAGAUACACACAGGUGUCCGAAAGCGUACAUAAACCUCACAAGUCACAAUGGUACACCCAAAGUUCUGCACCUUGAUCACAAUGCUCUCAACACAUAUUUACAUGCAUUUCACUCCGGAGGCUCAAGCACACAUGUGUCUCCCCCACCCCCCCUACGGGCAGCGGCGCGCAACUAGUGUCUAGAUAUGGGGCUCCUUGUUCCGCUCAGAUUCUCNNNNNNNNNNNNNNNNNNNNNNNNNNNNNNNNNNNNNNNNNNNNNNNNNNNNNNNNNNNNNNNNNNNNNNNNNNNNNNNNNNNNNNNNNNNNNNNNNNNNCUGCACUCGGAUUUGUUCGUUCCCUUAUUGACGCUUCUUGGAUUAGACCGCGGAUAGAAAGAUUUCAUGAUUUGUUCAUGCUUGGUAGAUAGAAAGAUUUCAUGCUGGCUGGGGGCUGGCCGGGGAGAAAGCAAGAAAGAUAUCCAUAUAGCAAAUUGACACAGUUCCUUGCGAUCAUGUACACCAUGUAGUACAGUCUCUCAAAAUUGAACAAGACAAGUUCACUUGUAGCAUGAAAGAGAGUAAAACCAAUGUAGUACAUGUCUUUGUGCAGUGGUACUAUUUUACUAGUAGCCAACAGUAGAGGGCACUGUUGCAGAACAGCGGCAGCCUAUUUUACUAGUAGUGUACUACUUGCAGGUUACAGUAGUAAUUGAAAAGAUAAUUCUUUAUCAAUAUGUGUUUAUGCUUCCUUCAAAGAAUCUUUCUCCAUUUAUGCCUAGAGAUAUAUUUGAUUAAAUUGUUCUUCGUUUCAUUGUUUGCAGGUAAUACCAAGACUGUUAUAAGAGGCUCCUUGGAUACUCUACGACUACAUUUCUUAAAAGAUGAGUUCUUGUAACCUUUUGGUUGCCCUCAAUAGUAUCAGGAAGCAUAUUGAUUAUGAUUUCUGUGAUGUUCAUGGCGGGAUCAUAAAGCGAAAUAAAUCCACUUUAGUUGCUUUCCUAUCUAGGAUUAAUAAAAAUGAGCUUGCUCCUGUUUCAGGAGAAAAGAUUCCCACCAUUUGUCCUUUACUCUCUGAGGAUAUGAUACAACUUCUGAUAGGCUUGCUUCAAAUUUUCAAAGACAUGUUUAGAGCAAACAUUUGUCUCCGCAAUUUUGAUGAGAAUCACAUAGUUAUAGUGGAUGGGCAUAUUCCAAAAAUUAUUCAAAAUGCAUUAUUCGUGGAAUCAACAGAGGGGUAUAUGAAUCAAAAUGUCAUGUGCUUAGGUCAAGUAAUUGAGAAUGUUGUUUUUGCAAACUGUCAACUCUUGGCCGAGUCGAAGGACUUUGUUAAUCUGUUCAAGGAUGGGACGAAAAACUUUGAUCUCAUUAUUGUGCACCCCACACUAGUACACAUAUGUUUCAAAAUAGAUUAUUUUGGUAACACCCAUGAUUUCCUAUUGAAAUUCAUAAAAAAACUAGAUAACGCAGCUUAUACUGACAUAAUCAAUGAUCUUGAUUUUCCAGCUGACUGGGAGACACUGAUUGACAGCAAUGACCAUUUAAUCAAGUGCUAUUCGAACCGGCAAGUCGGGAGAGGGAAGUCGCGAGCUGCUCCAAGUCAAUCAGGCACAACGAUAGUACAUCCUCAAACUCCAGCAGUCAGCAGUAGUGGGACUCCACAUGCCCAAGGGGUCAGCAACAGUGGGAGGAAUCCACCCCAGACGAACCCUGCUCCAGUGAGUAACCGAGACUGCCUUUCUUUACUUGUCCUUUUCCAGCGUGUGGUGUGGAAUUCCUUUUCCUGUUCUUUCUUUUUAUUGGCUUCUUGGCUCUUUUUGUAUUUCCCCUUUGCCUAAUCAAUGAAAUUUGGCAGCUCUCUUGCCAGCAUUCAAAAAAUAACCGAGGCUGCACGCAACCCAUGUUCAGGGAGAAGCUUUCCUGCCAACAAGUUCAGUCCAGCGCUGGCGCAGGCAUGCCAUCCUCAAACUCUACCAGAGCCCCAAUGAGUAAAGAUCCACCAGUUAAGAACAAGGCUCCAAUGGCAGCAUCUGUAGGUGGUAAACAGGGACAACCAUCAAACAAGGGCAAGGCUCCACUGACAUCAUCUUCAACCACUACUCUUUUGAGUAAACAACGACAGCCAAAUGUUUGCCAAGAUUCGUCAUCCUCCAAGCCUUCCAAGCCUUCAUUGAAGAUGAAGAAGAAGAAGAAGAAGUACAACCUACCUGGAACAAAGUCCCCUGAAGAAGUAAUGAAGUAUUACAGAAAUAGUGGGAGGCACGGGGUGGAUGAGUCAGUGAAAGACCAGCAACUUCAGUUUGGAGUCAAGGCCCUGAACAUAAUACUGCUCUUCUACUUCCAAAAACUCCUUUGCAGCGCCCUCAGGGGGAUCCACAGAAAGAACUACCUGAGUCGCAUGGAGACUCUGCCACGGGUGCUGCGUUAGACCAGGUCACUAGGACAGCUGCUUAGAACUGCGAUUGGUCACUCGUACGGUGGCCACAGUGGACAAUACUGUGUUGUCUACUGAUGUGUAUACUGUUACUACCAUGGAUCACUAGUACUGUCUUAUUUUUUGAAACAUAAGUAGUUCGUUUAUCCAAGUUGCCUUCAGGUUUCUUGCUUGCUUAUUGGCUUGGGGGGUUCAUAUGCAGUGGAAUUCCGCUGUGUGCAUUAUUAAGACCCUGUUCCGAAUCUCUCCACUCGGCUCCAGUACUUGUGAGUUGUGGAGCUCGGUUUUAGCCACUCCGUAAAAAUCUUUUGACUCCGUAGCAACCGUACUAGUAAAAUAGGCCGCCUCUGUUCUGCAACAUUGCCCUGUACCAUUUGCCUUUUAGACUCUCUCAUGCUACAAGUGAACUUGAUUUGUUCAAACUUUGAGAGACUGUACUUCAUGGAGUAGAUGGAUGACGUACCAACCCUUAGUGAGCUGGUGGCCCUUAGUGGCCUGAUGAGGCCAACCUAAUAGAGCUAUUUCGGCUAGUGCAACAAUAAAGGAAAAAAAAAGGAGAGGAGGUGGGCAAGAAGAAAAUAACUCCUCCUCCAAACCAAUUGAAGGAGGAAACCUUCCUCCUUGGCUCGNNNNNNNNNNNNUACUUGGAGUAGGAGGCAAGGCAGUCACCCCUUGGUUCCUCCUAUAUAUANNNNNNNNNNNNNAGGGUUUUUGCACCUCAAGCCUUUGUGNNNNNNNNNNNNNNNNNNNNNNNNNNNNNNNNNNNNNNNNNNNNNNNNNNNNNNNNNNNNNNNNNNNNNNNNNNNNNNNNNNNNNNNNNNNNNNNNNNNNUUUCGGAAAGCCGUGCCCGCGGUUAUGUGGCAACGUGGAAACUUUGUUUAACACUGGUUCUAGAUAACGUGAAGCUAAUUAAUUAAAAUAUGCCAACUGAGUGCGUAACCAUGACUGUCUCUUUCGUGAGUUCUUUCUCCAAUCGAGGACACGGUGGGGUUAUGUCUGACGUAGGUAGGUGUUCAGGAUCAUUCAUUUGAUCAUCAGUACUCACGUCCGCAAUGAGUAGAUCUUCCCCUCUUAUUUCUUGUACUCGUAAGAUUAGCCACCAAAUAUAUGCUUAGCCGCUGCUGCAACCUCACCACUUAACCAUGCCUCACCCAUUAAGCUUUGCUAGUCUUGAUACCUUUGGAAAUGAGAUUGCUGAGUCCCCUGUGGCUCACAGAUUACUACAACACCAGUUGCAGGUACAGGUAAAGGUUAUUUGACGCGAGCGUGUUGAUUGUUCAUUUGGAGUUGCUUCUUCUUCUUCUUCUUCAUCGAUCUAGGAUGGGUUCCGGGUCGGCAGCCUGGGAUAGCAAGGAUGGGCGUCGUACUUAUUUUUCUCGUUUGUUUUCGUCCGUAGUCGGACCCUGCUCUUACUCUUGAUGAUUAUGUAAUGUACUGAUGUGACUCUGAUGUAGCUUGUGGCGAGUGUAAGCCAAUUCUUUAUAUAUAUCUCUUCUUUUCAGUACAUGUACUUGUAACGAUAUCCGUUCUUGCGACACGACGAGAUGCGCUUCUAUCCCUGACGAGGCCUUCGUGCCAAAUUGAGGAUAGGGUCGCAUCUUGGGCGUGACACUUCACCACAAUGGAUUAUGGCUCCGAGGUGACCUCUAUUGCUCGGGGCAAUCUCCACAACCUAAUUGGAGACCCCGACGCUUGCGCGGAGCUUUACUGUUGGAAAUAUGACCUAGAGGAACUAAUAAAGUGGUUAUUAUUAUAUUUCUUUGUUCAUGAUAAUCGUUAUUAUCCAUGCUAGAAUUGUAUUGAUUGGAAACUCAAAUACACGUGUGGGUACAUAGAUAACACACUCUCCCUAGUGAGCCACUAAUGGACUAGCUCGUUGGUCAAAGAUGGUCAAGGUUUCCUGGCCAUAGACAUGGGUUGUCAUUUGAUAACAGGAUCACAUCAUUAGGAAAAUUAUGUGAUGGACAAGACCCAAACUAUGAAUGUAACAUAUGAUCGUGUCAGUUUAUUGCUAUUGUUUUAUGCAUGUCAACUAUCUGUUCCUAUGAACCAUGAGAUCGUGCAACUCACUGACACCGGAUGAGUACCUUGUGUGUAUCAAACACCGCAAUGUGACUGGAUGACUAUAAAGGUGCUCUACAGGUAUCUCUGAGGGUGUUUGCUGAGUUGGCAUGGAUCAAGACUGAGAUUUGUUACUCCGUGUGACGGAGAGGUAUCUCAAGGCCCACUCGGUAAUACAACAUCACAACAAGCUUGCAAGCAAUGUGACUAAAGAGUUAGCCAUGGGAUCUUGUAUUAUGGAAUAAGUAAAGAGACUUGCUGGUAACGGGAUUGAACUAGGUAUGGAGAUACCGACGGUCGAAUCUCGGGCAAAUAACAUACCGAUGGACAAAGGGAAUAGUAUAUGGGAUUGAUUGAAUCCUUGACAUCGUGGUUCGACCGAUAAAGAUCUCCGUAUAAUAUGUAGGAGAAAAUAUGGGCAUCCAGGUCCCGCUAUUAGUUAUUGACCGGAGAGUGUCUCGGUCAUGUCUGCAUAGUUCUCGAACCCGCAGGGUCUGCACACUUAAGGUUUUGUAACAAUUUGGUAUUAAUGAGUUAUGUGUGAUGGUAACCAAAAGUUGUUCGGAGUCCUAGAUGAUAUCCCUGACGUCACGAGGACUUCCACAAUGGUCCGGAGGUAAAUAUUGAUAUAUAGGAAGUUGUUAUUCGAGGUCCGGAAAAGUUCUGGAACAUGCCGGUUUUGUGACACGAGUGCCGGAAGUGUUUCGGGGAUCCAUCGGGAGGGUCCACCUGCCCUGGAGGGCCCCAUGGGCUACAAGAGGGGGCACACCGUCCCUCCCACCAAGGCCCAUGCGAUAGGAGGUGGGAGCUAAGGGCGUGUUUGGUUUCUCUGCUCACACCUGCAUCGCACGAGGCAUGCAAAAUGUGGUGUGUUUGGUGUCGUGUGCGACCUCCUCGGCCUGGCCCAACUAAUGCAAAAUCGGGCCUCUCAGCUAGGCUGAGAGGAACACAGGAAUCGAGCAUUCCCGCGAUGUAGCCUCGCGCCUGCACCCGCGCUUUCACUUAAAACGAAGCGGUACACGAGAAUGGCCCUAAUGUUAUCCAGAAUUACUUCAAAACUUCCACCACAACUGUAACGACCAAAAUGCGGUCCUUUCCGAUCUGGGGGUCGAGGCCCCGAAUAGGAAAGAAGCGCAUCUAAGCGUUUCGCAAGAAAGUAACAUAGCACAAAUAAUAAUAAAAGUAGACAAUUCGGGAUUCAACUGUCUUCUCAUUAAUAACUCAUAGUACAUCACAGAUACAAUCAAGGUAGUUCCGCUACGGACUACAUAAACAUAGAAAUGCUAUGCUACCCUGCCUGCACGCCCACGAUCACGACCACGCCACAGUCCUCCGGAUAGUUCACGUAGAGGCGGUCUGUCUCCUCGUCGUACUGCCACGCCAGCUGGGUGCCGUCGGGAUCAUCUGUCUCUGGGGUACGUGUACCUGUUGGGAGUUUCGGAGGAAUCCGUGAGCCACGGGGACUCAGCAAUCUAAGACCUUGGUGCCAGAACUAGUCAUGUUAUUAGGUAGGGUAAGGGUGAAGUGUAUAAGGCUGCAGCAUCCUAAGCUUGAUUUAGUGGCUAACUUACGUAAACAGUUAUGAAGGUGGUCUACACUAGCGGUCGUGAUUACUUGAUCACUAAUUGAUCCUGAACACCUACCUACGACAUUCAUAACCCCACCGUGUUCCCGAUCGAAGAGAGAUCUUCGAGGGGACAGUCACGGUUACGCACACCGUUGGCAAUUUUAUUAGCUUAUGUUUAAGUUCUCUAAUACCGGAUGUUAACAAAAUAUUCCAAGUUGCCACAUAACCGCGGGCACGGCUUUCCGAAAGAUUAAACCCUGCAGGGGUGCUCCAACUAGUCCAUCACAAACGAACACAGGCCGCAAAGGCAUCCACUAUCACGAAUCUCGUGAUCUCGUCGGAUUCCUUAGAGGAAAACCUCAACUCUCGGGGAAACCAAAGCCUCACUGGGAUUCCUAUACGCAAGAUAUACCGCUAAGGUAAGACAAGGCUAGCAGGACCUCCCGUCAUGUCGACGACCCUGAUAAGAGUCGUGUAUCUCAGUCUCAGGACACAACGGAUGAGCUAGACGUCGGGAUGGCUAAACCUCUGGGUGACCAGUGGGGCCCCGGACAUCGCUCAGGUGGGACCAACACUCAUGAGGAGCACUGGCCCGGGUUGUUGAUUAAAUUUCUCGGGUAGCUAUUCCCUAUGCAGAUUAUUAUGUGAUUAGCAGAUUAAAACCAAUGUUGGGUCCUGCCGGACAAGCCUUAGCACUACGCGAUUUAUCAAGGGGGUCCCCAUAACAACCCUGAACGUGUUAGGAGCGAUCAUUAUGGAAUCAAACACCGGUAACCGGUAACUAAGGCGGCAAUAACGGAACAAAGCACCCGGCAAAAGGCUAGGCCUCCCGUCAUUUACCAAGUAUAUAGGUGCAUUAAUUAAAUAACAGAAUUUAAGAUAAUGAUAUCAAGCUCAUGUUAUCACAUGAGACAAAGCACGUGCAUCUAGCAACGCUAUCAUUAGUAGCUGAGCAAAGCCUACUUAGCCAUACAAGUUUUGCUAGGAAGGGGGACGGUGUUUGGGCUCAUGGCAUAUCAAGAGGCAAUUUAAUUCAGUGGUAGGCAACGAGCAAUAUGACAUGGAAACGAAACUAGCAUAACAAGUCUAGAGAUGGAAUCAAGGUCAUAUCAUCUUGCCUGUGAUAUCCUCAGCUUGGAAUGUUUCUGGUUUGUCCUGCACAUACUCUCCUGACUCCACGUAUUCGUUCUCCGAUCCCGGUGCUACCCAAAAUAAUAAUAACAACCAAUGAACAGCACCACCACAAGAUGCAACAAUCACAUGAUGCAUGAGAUGAAAAAUGAGCAUGCAUCGCUAUUUCUAUCACUAGCACAAGCAAAAGAAACUACUACAAGUUUCUGGACAGAACUGUACACUAAGCUAUUUUUACAUGCAUGGGGAUGGCAUGAACAGAUGCGGCUCGUGAAAACGAUGCAAAACCAUAUAAAGAACUUUGCAAACGGAGCUACGGAUCAACGGGAAUAUCAACGAAACAAGAUAUGAAGCUCUACAUGGAAGAAUCAACACCACACCCACAAUUGGCACAAAUCUGGUAUUCCCAGGUUGCCAAGACAUAUAACAACCCAACAUGAAUGGAUUGGAGCAAGGGAGAACACCACAACAUCAACUAAGCACACACAAUGAUCAAAAUGACUAUACUACUCAAUCUGCCAUAAUCUGCAUCUUAGCUCUUUGUGAGCUACAUGCAACAUAGCUACAGCCCUCCAAAUAUGACAAAUAAUAUAUGUGGCUGUAUACAACCAAGAACACUACAAGCACUAGCAAGAAUCACACCAAAAGGAAUUCAACUCUAGAAGAUACAAGGCCACAAACUUUCACAAAACCCUCAGAUCUCAGGGACUUAGUGAAAAUCCCUGCACCUGACUUUCUGUCUUUGUUCUGAAGCUUUUUUACAGCAAUCAAAACACAACCUACUGGACUCCAAAUGAGAUGAAAUUUGACAGGGAGCUUCACAAACAUAUCAGGUCCAAAAUCUUAGCACUGAAAUAAGGCUAGUUCCCAACACAAUGACCAGCACAACCUCAUCUAUAGGAGAAGAAAAUGUUUCCAGAUUCUCAGACUUAGUGAAAUUCCAGAUUUCACUAAGCUGGACUUUUUCAGCCACAUGCCCACUUUAUCUAGGCAUAGUUUGCACACAAAUAACACCAAGUGAUAAAUGACACCACUAUGGUGUAGAGCAAAACCCCUACUAUUACCACACGAAAACUCAUGCCCUUGGGCUCCACCUAUUCCAUGGAAUCAAAGAGCAAACUUGCAACAAAUCUGAAUAUGUCAACUCCAUAAAGUAUCCCAAUGGAAAAACUAACUUCACCACUGGAUUCCUUGGGAGAUUCUAUCCCAAAAUCAUAUAUAAUAUGUGGGAACUUACUUGGAACAAGUGACCACAAAUUAAGGGAGAGGAAACUACUCCAAAUCAUGCCUAGUGAAUAGGGCAUCAUUUCAUGUAGUUCCACUAUAACAACAACUACAAAGGUUGAGCUCAUGUGCACAAUGACAAAGUGACAUGGGGGUUUGAACCCCAUGUUUUUGUCAUGCCCAUCAACCCACAAGCACAUCUACCAAGUAGAUCACACACACAAUAGUCACUAUGCCCUCUCCAUAUGGAAAUGUGAAGGUGCAAGAAUGAUUUGCAAAGGUGGGGUUGAUCCUCACUAACACAUCAACUCCACAACACCCACUACACAUGCUCUUGAACCACACACAAAAUUGCAAGGCAUCUAGUAAGCCACACAUCAUGGAAGUACCAACACCUACACAUACAUAUGAACAACUAUAUGGUGCCACAUGAGCCAAGCCCAUGUAUGAGUGGAAAUCACAUAUACACACCACAACCAACAAGCACAACCACAUGUAUAUUACCUCACAUAUGCACACACUAGUGCACCUACAAGCAUGCACUAAGCUAGCACCACCACCACACAUACACUUCACCAAGUGCUCACAUACACACACAACCAACACUCUAGAGCACACACACUAGUGCAUUUGCAGGAAGGAACAACAUUAAAUGCUAUUUUCUUUAUGCCUAUUGUUUAGGCACAAGGAAUAGCAGAAAUUAUAGCAAGAAAAACAAAUAGGAUAUAAAGCAAAAAUAAAAGAGGCAAGCCUGGGAUUCGAACCCACAGCCUCCUGAUUGCUGGCCUGCGGUGCAACCACUCUGCUAUUGUCAUGAUUUUGACAAAGAGAGGGGCACAUAGCAAGUCGACCCUCUUGCUGCUACUACUACUAACGAACAGGGAAAUAAAACCCAAAAAGGGGCGGUGCACCACCGGGGACUCGAACCCUGCACCUUUCGAUGACCA
rnacentral:lncRNA from 1 species